GAAAUUCAAGAUGACCUUAAUUGGCUUAAAUUUAAUAGUCAACCAUGUACUGAAGUGUGCCAGAAAUGGAAAUCAACUUCGAAAUUUAGGUUGAAAAGUUUUCAAUCAGGCACCAAAGACAUUCCAAAUUUUAAACUUCUUUUAGAUCUAAAAGCAGAUGUAUUGGUAAAUAUCGAUUUUACUCAAUUGAGCAUGCAGAAAAACUAUGACCAUUGUAACAACCUUUUGUUUCAAAAAAUCCCUUUACAUGCAAAAAAAUUGAUAGGCCUAAUUGCCAAGAAAUAUUCCAUGCAAGAUGGGGUAGAAUAAGAAACAGCUGCUCUUUUGGCUAUUGUACGAUUAACAUGCUGCAAACGCUCCAUACGUUUAUGUAAAGAAGCAAAAAGAAAAUCCUGGACUCCUAGUGUUAAAGAAUGUGGCGAAUCAUUUCUUUUUCUAGUCAAUUCAAUUGAAAAUGCUGAGCAGUCAAUUGAUAAUAUUAGGAGAUUAUAUAAUGACCUGAAGCUGACACUUCAACCUUUGGUUUAUGCUGUACACCGAACAUUGCUGUUGUUGUGUACAACAAUCACAGGUGGUCAUUUGAAACCCCCUUGAAAGCAAUAGAUUUUUCGUUUAAAUUGAUUCAAAUCUUGGAUAAGGAGUACAAUAUUGCAAGUUUUCCAACUUGGAUGUUUUUACAUCGGAUUCGGAUUGCAGGUUAUGACUAUUAGUUGUUCCCAACUUUUCUGCAUUUUCCGGCAUAAUAUAAGUUGUUUAGUAAUGACAUAAUA